rnacentral:rRNA from 1 species
GACGAACGCUGGCGGCGUGCCUAACACAUGCAAGUCGAGCGGAGUCGAUCGACGGAAGCCUUCGGGCGGAAGAUGGUUGACUUAGCGGCGGAUGGGUGAGUAACGCGUGGGCAACCUGCCUCGAAGACCGGGAUAACAGUCCGAAAGGGCUGCUAAUACCGGAUGUGGUCAAGGAUCCGCAUGGAUUUUUGAUUAAAGGGGAAACCCGUUUCGAGAUGGGCCCGCGUCCUAUCAGCUAGUUGGUGAGGUAAAAGCUCACCAAGGCGACGACGGGUAGCCGGCCUGAGAGGGUGACCGGCCACACUGGAACUGAGACACGGUCCAGACUCCUACGGGGGGCAGCAGUGGGGAAUCUUCCACAAUGGGCGAAAGCCUGAUGGAGCGACGCCGCGUGAGCGAAGAAGGCCUUCGGUUGUAAAGCUCUGUCUGGAGGGACGAAGGAAGUGACGGUACCUCCGGAGGAAGCCACGGCUAACUACGUGCCAGCAGCCGCGGUAAGAGUAGUACA